AUCUUAAAUAAUCUAUAUCCAAACUCAAAACGGUCAUUCCAUACUGAUGCUGACAGAAAGUCAAACCUAAUCCACACUCACUAAUUAAACUGUCCAACUCACUGGUACCACUUGAGUGUUACCCCUUCUCUGCAACGAAAGAAUAUGCCAUUCACUUAGUGCCGCAUUUCUCAACUUUACUCUUCCCAUUCCAUCUCCUUAGAUUUCUGACUGCCUGCUUGCCAAUGCUUCCAUCAACUGCUCAUUUCAAAUUCAACAGUCAGCCAGAAAGCCAUUUUAAGGACAUAAAGAAGUAAAGCAAAAAAGAGGAAAACACGGGAACCAAGGUACUCCAAGAGAGGAGAGGCAAUGAAGUUCCAUGAGUAUGGCGAGGGGACACCUCAGGGUGACAAGCAGUAUGGCACAGAGAAUGACUGGAGCAGACUGGAGCUGAACACAGAUGACUCCUAAUUCCUACGCAGCAGUACACGAUAUCACAUACUACUAUACUAACAGAUUUUAUUUCACAGAAACUAUAUUGAGAGGAUGUUUGAGAGUACAGUAUGAUUUGGUAGUGACAGGUACAAACUGAAAACUAAAAAAUAAAAAUAAUUAUACCAGGAAAAGCAGAAAGUUGUAUAAGAAAGCAAAAGUAAUUAUUGUAUAGUAUGCUAUUUGGCAGAGUAUGGAGUGAAAUCAUAUAAACACUGAGUACUAAGCCAAAUUCAAAUAACUGUAGUGGGAGGAUAUGGAGUACAGAGGAGGGAGAUAAGAGACCUAAACACUCUCCCACAAUAUCUGAGGUGAAGAGAUCAAGAAUCCAGAAGCAGCAGCAUAAGCAUAUGGUUAAGAAACACAGAGGUAGUAAACAGUUUCAAGAAUUAAAACUCUGAACGAGGGGACAGAGAGGUGCUGGAGGGGACAGAGGCAGGGAACCAAUGUUUUUGUAAGUUUUUUAGCAAUUCUUUUAAACCUUAAAAAAAAAAUCCAUGUGCCCUCACCAACUAUAAGUAGAUUCACUAUAUUAAAAACAAAUCAAAAUAAAACAACAAACAACAUCUACCAGGAUGUGAAGAAACAGGCAUUCUCAUUCUUUUCCAUACCUUCAAGAGUGAUUUCAGGACCAAAAAAAGGGGCUAAGCUUUAAUAACUAUCCAAAAGUUAAAUAUUUUCACUCAAAUUAUUUUAUUCAUACAAAAUAUAUAAUGAACUAUAAAGUACAAGGAAUAAAACAUCCAUGUACUUAUCAUCCAGCUGAAAAACAAAAUACCAUUAUCACUGUGAUAUUCCCAUGAGCCCCUCCAUUAAUCACAACCCUCCCCUCUAUCACAGUUGAAAUACACAUGCCCUUAUGUAGCAAUCCCACUGCUAGCCUAGACAGACUUGUUUAAAAGCUGGCCAAUAUAUGUAAGCCUGCAAACAAUAUGAAUGUCCAUUAAAAGGAAGACAAAAUAAAUUAUGGAAUGGCCAAAUGACAAAAUACAUGAAGCUGGUUUUUUUUCUGUUUGCAUUUCUACAUGGCUAGGGAAAGAGUGUUCCUUUACUUCUUCCUCUCAAGUGUUUCACCUGCACAUAUGUCCUCUUCCUAAAUAAAACUAUUAGCUCCUUGAAA